rnacentral:rRNA from 1 species
AUGAACGCUGGCGGCGUGCCUCAUACCUGCAAGUCGAGCGAACGGACGAGAAGCUUGCUUCUCUGAUGUUAGCGGCGGACGGGUGAGUAACACGUGGAUAACCUACCUAUAAGACUGGGAUAACUUCGGGAAACCGGAUCUAAUACCGGAUGAUAUUUUGAACCGCAUGGUUCAAAAGUGAAAGACGGUCUUGCUGUCACUUAUAGAUGGAUCCGCGCUGCAUUAGCUAGUUGGUAAGGUAACGGCUUACCAAGGCAACGAUGCAUAGCCGACCUGAGAGGGUGAUCGGCCACACUGGAACUGAGACACGGUCCAGACUCCUACGGGAGGCAGCAGUAGGGAAUCUUCCGCAAUGGGCGAAAGCCUGACGGAGCAACGCCGCGUGAGUGAUGAAGGUCUUCGGAUCGUAAAACUCUGUUAUUAGGGAAGAACAUAUGUGUAAGUAACUGUGCACAUCUUGACGGUACCUAAUCAGAAAGCCACGGCUAACUACGUG